rnacentral:rRNA from 1 species
AAAUUGAAGAGUUUGAUCAUGGCUCAGAUUGAACGCUGGCGGCAGGCCUAACACAUGCAAGUCGAACGGUAACAGGAAGCAGCUUGCUGCUUUGCUGACGAGUGGCGGACGGGUGAGUAAUGUCUGGGAAACUGCCUGAUGGAGGGGGAUAACUACUGGAAACGGUGGCUAAUACCGCAUAACGUCGCAAGACCAAAGAGGGGGACCUUCGGGCCUCUUGCACAUCAGAUGUGCCCAGAUGGGAUUAGCU